AGGGGCUGGGGGCUUCUGCAGCCUUUGGGGAGGAGAGAUGCGCGCUCCGGCCAUUUUUGGUCGGGUAGAGCUAAGUUUGGAAUUUGUAACCUGGGGGAA
rnacentral:lncRNA from 1 species